AUGGUGACUCUGGGAUGCCUGGUCAAGGGCUAUUUCCCUGAGCCAGUGUCCGUGACUUGGAACUCUGGAGCCCUGUCCAGCGGUGUGCACACCUUCCCAGCUGUCCUGCAGUCUGGACUCUACACUCUCAGCAGCUCAGUGACUGUAUCCUCCAGCACCUGGCCCAGCCAGACCGUCACCUGCAAUGUAGACCACCCGGCCAGCAGCACCAAGGUGGACAAGACCAUUGUCCCAGAACUAUCAUCUGUCUUCAUCUUCCCCCCAAUGCCCAAGGAUGUGCUCACCAUCACUCUGACUCCUAAGGUCACGUGUGUUGUGGUAGACAUUAGCCAGGAUGAUCCCGACGUUCAGUUCAACUGGUAUGUAGAUGACGUGGAAGUACACACAGCUCAGACUCACCGCCCAGAGCAGCAGUUCAACAGCACUCUCCGCACAGUCAGUGAACUACCCAUCCUGCACCAGGACUGGCUCAAUGGCAGAGAGUUCAAAUGCAAGGUCAACAGUGAAGCAUUACCUGCCCCCAUCGAGAGAACUAUCUCUAAAACCAAAGGCAGACCACGGGCUCCACAGGUAUACACCAUGUCGCCUCCCAAGGAACAGCUGACCAAGAAUGAAAUCACUCUGACCUGCUUGGCCCUGGGUUUCUUUCCUUCUGACAUUUAUGUGGAGUGGCAGAGGAAUGGGCAGCCAGCGGAGAACUACAAGAACACUGAGCCCACCGUGGACGCAGACGGGAGUUACUUCCUCUACAGCAAGCUCACUGUGAGCAGGAACAUGUGGGAGAAGGGAGAAACCUUCACCUGCUCUGUGUUACAUGAGGCCCUGCACAACCACCACACUGAGAAGAGCCUCACCCAAUCUCCUGGGCUGGAACUGGCCGAAACCUGUGCUGAGGCCCAGGACGGGGAGCUGGAUGGGCUCUGGACAACCAUCACCAUCUUCAUCAGCCUCUUCCUGCUCAGCGUGUGCUACAGUGCUGCUGUCACACUCUUCAAGGUAAAGUGGAUCUUCUCCUCAGUGGUGGGGCUGAAGCAGACACUGGUUCCCGAAUACAAGAAUAUGAUUGGACAAGGGCCCUAG